CCUGAGUACGACGGAGCACGUGAAAUUCCGUCGGAAUCUGGGAGGACCAUCUCCUAAGGCUAAAUACUCUCUAGUGACCGAUAGUGAACCAGUACCGUGAGGGAAAGGUGAAAAGUACCCCGGAAGGGGAGUGAAAGAGAACUUGAAACCGUGUGCUUACAAGUAGUCAGAGCCCGUUAAUGGGUGAUGGCGUGCCUUUUGUAGAAUGAACCGGCGAGUUACGAUCUGAUGCAAGGUUAAGCAGAAAAUGUGGAGCCGUAGCGAAAGCGAGUCUGAAUAGGGCGAAUGAGUAUUUGGUCGUAGACCCGAAACCAGGUGAUCUACCCUUGGUCAGGUUGAAGUUCAGGUAACACUGAAUGGAGGACCGAACCGACUUACGUUGAAAAGUGAGCGGAUGAACUGAGGGUAGCGGAGAAAUUCCAAUCGAACUUGGAGAUAGCUGGUUCUCUCCGAAAUAGCUUUAGGGCUAGCCUCAAGUGAUGAUUAUUGGAGGUAGAGCACUGUUUGGACGAGGGGCCCCUCUCGGGUUACCGAAUUCAGACAAACUCCGAAUGCCAAAUAAUUUAACUUGGGAGUCAGAAUGUGGGUGAUAAGGUCCAUAUUCGAAAGGGAAACAGCCCAGACCACCAGCUAAGGUCCCAAAAUAUAUGUUAAGUGGAAAAGGAUGUGGCGUUGCCCAGACAACUAGGAUGUUGGCUUAGAAGCAGCCAUCAUUUAAAGAGUGCGUA
rnacentral:rRNA from 1 species